rnacentral:rRNA from 1 species
AUUGAACGCUGGCGGCAGGCCUAACACAUGCAAGUCGAGCGAGCGGCGGACGGGUGAGUAAUGUAUGGGGCUCUGCCCGAUAGAGGGGGAUAACUACUGGAAACGGUGGCUAAUACCGCAUACUAUCGGAUGAACCCAUUCGGGAUUAGCUAGUAGGUGGGGUAAAGGCUCACCUUGGCCACGAUCUCUAGCUGAUCUAAGAGGAUGAUCGGCCACACUGGGACUGAGACACGGCCCAAACUCCUACGGGAGGCAGCAGAGGGGAAUAUUGCACAAUGGGCGAAGGCCUGAUGCAGCCAUGCCGCGUGUAUGAAGAAGGCCUUAGGAUUGUAAAGUACUUUCAGCGGGGAGGCGUUACCCGAAGAGGAAGCACCGGCUAACUCCGUGCCAGCAGCCGCGGUAAUAC